CGGAUGUGACGUGUGCCAGUGGCGUACUCCCUGCCCCCAGAUAGGUACUUGUACGCCUAGGGAAAGACGCUGCUAGGUGCUGCUGCUAAAUCCCUGUGGUUUCUGCCAGCCACAUGCGGCCAUUGCCGGCUCACGUAGGUUCGUUCGCGUGGUCUUGUUACGCCUCGCUGGAUCGUGUUCAGUCAUGCCGUCCUUGCGCGGCGUGAUUGUCGUGCGGCUGGCGUGAGCUGUCUCCACGAUGCGCUUCGAGCGUGUCGAUUUCGCCGUUCUUUAUGUUGGCGUUAACGACCUUGAAAGCAACAUGGAUCCACAAGAAAUGUGCGACAACAUCAAGGUAAGUCUACUGAAAUCACAAAAUUUGAAACAAUAAGCGCUAAUAGUUGUGUUUUCUUUUAAAUUUUAGGCCUUGAUUGUUCAACGAGACGGCCCCCGUCGUGCUGGUUUUCAAGGUGCUCCCUCGCUGCCUAGAAGAUGCUGAUGCGGAAUAGAAAAUGCAAAAACGUUGCUUGCUCAACCGCAAAUUGACGGCUACGCUGAAGCGCAUGCCGUGUCUGCGGAAUUUGAACCCCGAGGUAUGGACCCCCUUUUUCCAGCGGCAUGCCGUUACAUACCGUCAGGAACACGCUUGGCUUAUUUCUGACUCGGUAAAAAAUGUUUCACUUUUUCUCGCUUCUCGCUGCGGAAGAAAUGGGGACCGUUUGUCGUAGUUGUGUCUCCAUUACAGGGUGGCAUUACUGCGGUGAAUAAAGCAAGUGUUGCCGUACAUACUGUGCGCAUUUCACCCUUUGUUGGGCGGUCGGAAAAUAUUGGUCCCACUUUUCAGGGCUACUUCGCUAUUAUGUAGCGGUGAAGUGUAAUUUCUACCAUUGAACAUUCCUGUGUAGAUGUGUUUCUGAAUCACGUUAAGCACAUUUUUUCGUCCAUUUCUUUGUCAAACAACGCGAUAGAGCGAUUGCGCAGAUUGUUUACUUCCCUUUCUACAAUGUUUAGUUUAUUCUGUUGCCUUCCUUCAAACCACCACAGCGGCAAAUUGACUUUUUUUAUCGAAAUUCCGCGUUUUCAUAAUAGCUGAAUUUUGGUGCGGUUAGGUGUCUGAAUUUCUCGUACCCACAGCUACCAAAACAGUUGAUCAAAUUAUUAGCAUCGCGAACAAAUCGCAUUCCUACAUAUGCGAGCUGCUACAUAUGAGCCCUCAAGAAUUUUCAAGAAGCAUCUUUUUUCUAAGAACCCUUGCGAUAUUGGAAAGCCCUGAUUGAGGAUUCUCAUACAAAGCAUGCUCAGUAAGUAUAAUGAAAACAUGCACAAACAAUGUAUAAUGUACUGGGUACUCUGGCUGCUUCUAAUCACAUUACAGGUGACCACGAGUAGGUAGAAACGGGCCUUGAGGCUGUAUAGUGGGACGUAAUAUUCCCACUUUUCGCUAUUACUGAAUCGUAGUCAGCUUUGAGAUUUUACGUUAUGUAAAAAAUGCUUCAUAAAAAAAAGCACUUGUAAUGUCUCGGACACAAAGCGGCCUGUUCUCUGCUUGCGUCUAUGAAAGGGUUAAGAUGCACACACUAUUCAAAGGUCGCAUU
rnacentral:lncRNA from 1 species